UACGUAGGGGGGCAAGCGUUGUCCGGAAUUAUUGGGCGUAAAGAGCGUGUAGGCGGUCCGGUAAGUCCGCUGUGAAAGUCCAGGGCUCAACCCUGGAAUGCCGGUGGAUACUGCCGGGCUAGAGUCCGGAAGAGGCGAGUGGAAUUCCUGGUGUAGCGGUGAAAUGCGCAGAUAUCAGGAGGAACACCGAUGGCGAAGGCAGCUCGCUGGGACGGUACUGACGCUGAGACGCGAAAACUGGGGGAGCAAACAGGAUU
rnacentral:rRNA from 1 species